GAUUUGGCAGCAGGGGGGAGAGUGUAGUAAUAACAAUUGCUUGUUCACCUUUUCUGACUUUUUUUUUUAAAGAAAUGGAGGAAGAUGGAAAAUUCAGAUGGACAGAGGAGGUCACUGAGUCCCACACAAAGCCGAACACAGCUUCCCCUGUGCAGCAAGCUCUGAGAAAUCGUUCUCAGCGCCAGCCAAACUUCCAGAAUCCCACAACAUGGAGAGGAGCCAAGAAUUGGGACAGGACAGAGAAAAGGCAGCUGAAUGAGCGGGUUUCCCCAGACCUUGAUCCACCAUGCAUGAUGUACAGUAUCUCAUAAAAUGGUCCGUUUGGCCUGCUCUUGGUGGCCCGGGGGCACUGAAUAAAGCACAGCAGAAAGAGGAGGCCGGAGCAGAACCGCAGGGCGCCAUUGUUGCUCUGCUCACACUGCAAGCUAAGCGGGAGAUGGCAGGACUGCAGGGGUCAAAUAAAACCGCACAAACACUCCAGAGCUGCUGUGGUCGUGGACUAAAAGUGGACUUUUUCUCUUUUUC
ensembl:lncRNA